GGGGAUGUAGCUCAGAGGUAGAGCGCUUGACUUACUUGCAAGGUGGGGGUAUACCCUGGGUUCAUCCCUA
rnacentral:tRNA from 1 species